rnacentral:rRNA from 1 species
GCCCUACAGCUAGCCCAACUAAUUAAAUUAACCCCUCAUUAUUCAACAAUUUACUACUCACUAAAUUAAAC